AUUGAACGCUGGCGGCAGGCCUAACACAUGCAAGUCGAACGAGUGGCGGACGGGUGAGUAAUGUCUGGGAAACUGCCCGAUGGAGGGGGAUAACUACUGGAAACGGUAGCUAAUACCGCAUACCAUCGGAUGUGCCCAGAUGGGAUUAGCUUGUAGGUGAGGUAACGGCUCACCUAGGCGACGAUCCCUAGCUGGUCUGAGAGGAUGACCAGCCACACUGGAACGGAGACACGGUCCAGACUCCUACGGGAGGCAGCAGGGGGGAAUAUGGCACAAUGUGCGAAAGCCUGAUGGAGCCAGGCCGCGUGUAUGAAGAAGGCCUUCGGGUUGUAAAGUACUUGCAGCGGGGAGGCGUUACCGGACCAGGAAGCACCGGCUAACUCCGUGCCAGCAGCCGCGGUAAUAC
rnacentral:rRNA from 1 species